rnacentral:rRNA from 1 species
GAUGAACGCUAGCGGCAGGCUUAACACAUGACACGGAGAUUCGUCGAAGUGUUGAUGGCGACCGGCGCAAGGGUGCGUAACGCGUGAGCAACUUGCCCGUUUCUGGGGAAUAACCGGUGGAAACGCCGACUAAUACCCCAUAGUAUAACGAAGAGGCAUCUUUUUGUUAUUAAAGAGUUUCGGAAACGGAUAGGCUCGCGUGACAUUAGCUAGACGGCGGGGUAACGGCCCACCGUGGCGACGAUGUCUAGGGGUUCUGAGAGGAAGGUCCCCCACACUGGAACUGAGACACGGUCCAGACUCCUACGGGAGGCAGCAGUGAGGAAUAUUGGUCAAUGGUCUGACGACUGAACCAGCCAUGCCGCGUGAAGGUCACGGCCCUAUGGGUCUUAAACUUCUUUUGCAAGGGAGCAAUAAGCCUCACGUGUGGGGCGAUGAGAGUACCUUGCGAAUAAGCAUCGGCUAACUCCGUG